CCCCUAGAUGUUCUGGGCCGCACGCGCGCUACACUGAACAGUUCAACAAGUCUUAACCUUGGCCGAUAGGUCUGGGUAAUCUUUGAACGCUGUUCGUGAUUGGGAUAGACCUUUGCAAUUAUGGGUCUUCAACGAGGAAUUCCUAGUAAACGCAAGUCAUCAGCUUGCAUUGAUUACUUCCCUGCCCUUUGUACACACCGCCCGUCGCACCUACCGAUUGAAUGGUCCGGUGAAAUCUCGGGACGGCGGCUUGGUCGCUUGCGUCCGACUGCUGAAACUUGAUUAAACCAUAUCAUUUAGAGGAAGGUGAAGUCGUAACA
rnacentral:rRNA from 1 species